UCCCUGCUGGCGCAAUGGUAGCGCGCAAGACUUCUAUGCUGAAAUCUUGAGGCUGUUGGUUCGAAUCCAACGUAGGGAG
rfam:Sclerotinia borealis F-4128 unplaced genomic scaffold scaffold00152, whole genome shotgun sequence.